rnacentral:lncRNA from 1 species
CCACAAGAACCUGCCUGAUGAUAAAAAGAAAAAAACAAAAAGAAAUGGCAAGAAUUGUCGUUUGAACCAAAAAGAAAGAAAAGAAUGUGUGUGGAAGUUGAGAGGAGGAAACAACAAAAAAAGCGUGACUUGUGGGGAGGAAAUUUUAGGGAAUAGAAAAGAAAAUUAAAAAUAAUAACAAAAUAACCACUAAUUAAUUAUUAUUUUUAAAAUCAAUAAAAUAGGAUAAAACAAAAUAAGAUCUCACAAAAUCCACAACUAAUCUAAAUUAACCUGAUAACUACCCACUUUCUAAGAGUUUAAAACCCACACCAACUCCACCAACUUAACAGCAGACUUGAAAUAAACAAAAAAAAAAUCACCCAGACUUGAAAUAAACAAAAUAAAAUCACCCUACACCCCUACUACGAUUUGAAACAAGGACCUCC